AUUGAACGCUGGCGGCAGGCCUAACACAUGCAAGUCGAGCGAGCGGCGGACGGGUGAGUAAUGUAUGGGAAACUGCCCGAUGGAGGGGGAUAACUACUGGAAACGGUAGCUAAUACCGCAUACCAUCAGAUGUGCCCAUAUGGGAUUAGCUAGUAGGUGGGGUAACGGCUCACCUAGGCGACGAUCCCUCGCUGGUCUGAGAGGAUGAACAGCCACACUGGAACUGAGACACGGCCCAGACUCCUACGGGAGGCAGCAGUGGGGAAUAUUGCACAAUGGGCGCAAGCCUGAUGCAGCCAUGCCGCGUGUAUGAAGAAGGCCUUCGGGUUGUAAAGUACUUUCAGCGGGGAGGCGUUACCGGCAGAAGAAGCACCGGCUAACUCCGUGCCAGCAGCCGCGGUAAUUC
rnacentral:rRNA from 1 species